GCUCCAGUGGCGCAAUUGGUUAGCGCAUGGUACUGAUAAUGCCGAGGUUGUGAGUUCGAAUCUCACCUGGAGCA
rnacentral:tRNA from 1 species